GGUUUGGUGCGAUCGCGUGAGACAGCGUCAGGCGCUUGAUUUCCCUGAGUCCCGGUGCCUCAGCUGCCCAGUGCCCACUUCGUAAGAAGGCAACAAGUUCUUCUCCUCUACAGAAGGAUUUUGCAAACAAUUCGGCAAGUUCCAAAUGAUUCUGAUCGCAAAUACCUGAAAGAUUGGGCAAGAGAAGAAUUCAGAAGAAACAAAAGUGCCACCGAAGAUAGCCUCCAACUGAUUCUCCAGCUUGUUGAUUAGAGGUUCACAUCGACAACCAUUUAUUGGUGCCUAAGAGAGAAACAAAAAAGGAAUCAAUCCCUUGUUCAUUCCUUCAUCAGCUUCGCCCACGACUGAAGCGCAAGACCUGAAGGAGGCAAACGGCAUUGUUACAACCACUGGUGUGCGCAGCAUCUGUGUGAGAGAAUUCUCCUUGGACCUGGGGCUCUGACCUAAUGGAAUUUACAGCUUAGAGGGUGAGAGCAGGUGUUCACAUCAAGCAAGCACCUCUGGACCACCUACCAUCCUCCUAGGUCUUGUCCUGGGCACCACGGGGACUCGGAGACAGCAGCUGGGAUUCCCAGAGAAAAUUCUGCAAAACCCAUGCUGAAGUGAAGAGGAACCGAGGCCAGAGGCCAAAUGCACCUUAGCAGAGAGCUCCUGGAGAGAAGGCUAGAAAAUAAGAAACUGAGGCUCAAAGAAGUUAAGCAACUUGCACAAUUAGCAAACAAAGCAGAGUUAAAAUCUGUGAGCAGGUGCCCUAACUACAGAGUCUGCACUCUCUCCCAUUUGUGAUUGCCUGGGCCCUGGAAAGUGCUAUGGGUAGAUCACACAAGCUCUGAGUUAA
rnacentral:lncRNA from 1 species